rnacentral:rRNA from 1 species
UACGUAGGGGGCAAGCGUUGUCCGGAAUUAUUGGGCGUAAAGCGCGCGCAGGCGGUCAUGUAAGUCUGGUGUUUAAUCCCGGGGCUCAACCCCGGAUCGCACUGGAAACUGCGUGACUUGAGUGCAGAAGAGGAGAGUGGAAUUCCACGUGUAGCGGUGAAAUGCGUAGAGAUGUGGAGGAACACCAGUGGCGAAGGCGGCUCUCUGGAACGGUACUGACGCUGAGACGCGAAAGCGUGGGGAGCGAACAGG